GGGGAGUGUCUCAGAGAAAGCUUAUUUGCAUCUGUUAUUUACUUCAUUUUAUUUCCUCUACAGAUGUAACCUUUCCCCUCAGUAGACAGCUUUGCAGGCUGUUCUUGUGUUUGCAGUCCCUGUGUAUAGCCUUCUCAAAAUACAAACGGCAUAUUUUGAGGUUGAAGACCUGAAAACUGUGACCCCUGUUGCCUAGCAACUGAGAAGCUCAGCCUCAACUCCGGGUGGGGGAGAUGAUGGAGAAAGGACAAUUGCUCUGAGCUUUCAGUCACCAUGUGAGAAGUCUGGCUACCCUGAGGCCAGCACAUGCAGAGACCACAUGGAGAGAUGAGAGGCAGAGAGAGCCGCCCAAGGAACUCCAGCUGUUCCAGCACCCAGCUGUUUGAAUCCUCCCAGCCCAGGCACUAAACGUGAAUGAAAAGCUCUCAAGACAACCUCAGCCCUCGGACCCAGCCACAGACUGAUUGCCACUGUAUGAGAGACCUCAGAUGAAAACUGUCAAGUGGAGCCCGGCUAGCUAACAGAUUUAUAAGCAAAAUAAGUGAUUGUUAUUGUUUCAAGCCACCAUUUUGAAGUGGCUUUUCUGCAGCAAUAGAUGCCUGGAGGAGUCCUAAUAAUAAAAAUUAAUCAGAUGGAGGAUCUGCUUUUUUAUUUUCUCUUAGGACUAAGGAAAGGCUUGGUAUAAUCUUUGAACUGAGAUAAAGAAUAAGUUACUCUUAAAAUUUUCCAACAAAUGGAGUCCUUAUUGUCUGUAGUUAGUACCCAAAGCUUAGACACUUUCUCUCUACAUACCCUUCCAAGGAUAAGGCUGUAUUUUGUAAUGCCAGAUGACACAAUCUGAUAAACAAGCAGACACCCAUUAAAAUGAAUGAAUGUCAAAAUUUUUUCAUGCUUAUUUGUUAUUAACGACUGAGAAUGUGAAGGUGCAAUUCAAAUAGUUUAUUAUUGUUAUAGGUUUGUGGCAAUAUAUUACAGUUUACGCCUUGGCUUAGAAGUUGAUUACAAGUUUUAUGAGACUGAGUGCCUGUUAUUGGCAAUCUUGAUGUUUUCUUUUUCCCUGUAACAUGUCACAGACAAUUGAUUUAUAUG
rnacentral:lncRNA from 10 species